UGGGGAAUCUUGCGCAAUGGGCGAAAGCCUGACGCAGCGACGCCGCGUGAGCGAUGAAGGCCUUCGGGUUGUAAAGCUCUGUGGAUGGGGACGAAUAAGUGUGCGCUAACAUCGUACAUGAUGACGGUACCCAUUUAGCAAGCACCGGCUAACUCUGUGCCAGCAGCCGCGGUAAGACAGAGGGUGCAAACGUUGUUCGGAAUCACUGGGCGUAAAGCGCGUGUAGGCGGCAGUGCAAGUCGGAUGUGAAAUCCCGCGGCUCAACCGUGGAAGUGCACCCGAAACUGCACAGCUUGAGUGUCGGAGAGGAAGGUGGAAUGCUUGGUGUAGAGGUGAAAUUCGUAGAUAUCAAGCGGAACACCGGUGGCGAAGGCGGCCUUCUGGACGACAACUGACGCUG
rnacentral:rRNA from 1 species